CCCACUAGCCAGCGUACGCAUUCCUCAAGAAGUGCAGAGAGAUUUGGUUAAGAAACGCUUGAUGGGUGGACUGAGCUUUCUAGCCAUAUGACCACGGAUGGCUUAAGCCGAAGGAUUUUUGUUAACAGUCUAUCACAGACAUAAUCCACAAGACUUUCGCCUUCGAGAAUCGCAGCAGGUGUCACCCUUUCUGAACUACAAUAUGAGCCCCAACCGGGUGUCAUCGUUUAAGAAGAGAUGGUUCUCUCACACGCACAAUUCACUGGUUGGAUAGGGACCUCAUUGCAAGUGGAAGAGGAGCAUGCCAGCUAUGAACCGAUAUAGUCACUAUUUCGCGAUCUCCAAUUGAAGCAGUUGCUGCAAUUUACAACCCAAGAUUGGUCUUGAAAACCAUGAGGGUGGAAGUUUCUGAAAGCCUUUUUGUGACUCGGAACACACAUACCUAGCCCUGUUUGGAGCCGCAAAAAUAAGGCGAGUGCUCGUAGUCUAUGGUGCUGAUCCUGAUUAUAUCUCCAUCAAAGGCUUCACUUGAUCUGACCACCCCUUCACAUGGACGCUCUGCUGUGACAGUUUCCAAGCAUCCAUAACGGUGAUCCAUGAGAUAAUUCUCGUCUUUCAAUGCUCGUCCUAUGGACACAUCCAUUUCAGGAUCUACUAUGAGAAAAUAUUACUAGAGGGGUUGAGAAACAGCGUCUGGAAGGCGGUGCGGCCGAUAUUGAUCAACUAGUUUAUUCCACAGCUGGGAUAAAUACACAGAAUGUGCCAUUUUCUCUUGCCAGGCUUAUUGACCAGGAGACCAGCUGUACACAAGACAGACACAAUGAAUUUCCAGGUGCUUUCCACACAACCAACUCAGUGGGCACCUGAUUGGUGUAGUAUUACUCUAUUUGCUUCUUGACACUGAAACCCCACCACCUCAACGCAAUGACUUCCCUGCCCCCAAUUGAGUGCCAGCUAUUUCUCCCGAGAUUUGGAGCUCUGCCUGUGAUGAAGCUGGAUAUGCUAUAUUGAAUGAUCUGAGCGGAAGUGCUAUUUUCGGAAUCAGGUCUCUGAAAAAAAUACUCAACGCGGUUUUUUAUUCCAUUUUUUCAAGAAAAGCUACGCAACAACGGAACCUUGCGCCUUCCUCCGAAGGAAGUUUAGACAAGCUGGAAUUAUUAGCAAAGUGUUCCACAAACUUUCCCAUCACAAAAAAAAGGUCAACGAAUAAUAUCUUGAGG
rnacentral:sRNA from 1 species